AGGAAAUAGAUACCCGGGUAGUCCUGGCCCUAAACGAUGGGUACUAGGUAGUGGACUUGACAUGGGUUCACUGCCGGAGCAAAAAAGUAUUAAAGUACCCCGCCUGGGGAGUAUGGUCGCGAGGCUGAAACUCAAAGGAAUUGACGGGGGCUCACACAAGCGGUGGAGCAUGUGGCUUAAAUUCGAGGCUACGCGAAGAACCUUAUCCUGGGCUUGACAUGUGCGAAAGCGGUAGGGAGUAGCCCGCGGAAACGUGGGGCCAACGGUAUCCAGUCCGGAACCUACUACAGGUGCUGCAUGGCUGUCGUCAGCUCGUGUCGUGAGAUGUUGGGUUAAGUCCCUAACGAGCGAAACCCCUGUCUCCAGUUGCCAGCGGUUCGGCCGGGGACUCUGGAGAGACUGCCGGUGUUAAACCGGAGGAAGGUGGGGAUGACGUCAAGUCCUCAUGGCCUUUAUGCCCAGGGCUGCACACGUGCUACAAUGGCAUGUACAGAGGGAUGCGAACUUGCGAAAGGGAGCAAAUCCCAAAAAACAUGCCCACGUUCAGAUCGAA
rnacentral:rRNA from 1 species